AGGGUUUGAUCAUGGCUCAGAACGUACGCUGGCGGCACGCCUAACACAUGCAAGUCGAACGAAGUAGCAAUACUUAGUGGCAGACGGGUGAGUAACAUGUGGGUAUCUGCCCUUUGGCCUGGAAUAACACGAGGAAACUUGUGCUAAUACCGGAUAAGUCUUUACGGAGAAAGCUUUAUGCACCAUUGGAUGAGCCCGCACUUGAUUAGUUUGUUGGUGGGGUAAUGGCCUACCAAGACUGUGAUCAAUAGCUGAUUUGAGAGGAUGAUCAGCCACAUUGGGACUGAGACACGGCCCAAACUCCUACGGGAGGCAGCAGUGGGGAAUCUUGCACAAUGGAGGAAACUCUGAUGCAGCGAUGCCGCGUGAGUGAAGAAGGCCCUUGGGUUGUAAAGCUCUUUCGUCGGGGAAGAAAAUGACUGUACCCGAAUAAGAAGGUCCGGCUAACUUCGUGCCAGCAGCCGCGGUAAUACGAAGGGACCUAGCGUAGUUCGGAAUUACUGGGCUUAAAGAGUUCGUAGGUGGUUGAAAAAGUUAGUGGUGAAAUCCCAGAGCUUAACUCUGGAACUGCCAUUAAAACUUUUCAGCUAGAGUAUGAUAGAGGAAAGCAGAAUUUCUAGUGUAGAGGUGAAAUUCGUAGAUAUUAGAAAGAAUACCAAUUGCGAAGGCAGCUUUCUGGAUCAUUACUGACACUGAGGAACGAAAGCAUGGGUAGCGAAGAGGAUUAGAUACCCUCGUAGUCCAUGCCGUAAACGAUGUGUGUUAGACGUUGGAAAUUUAUUUUCAGUGUCGCAGCGAAAGCGAUAAACACACCGCCUGGGGAGUACGACCGCAAGGUUAAAACUCAAAUGAAUUGACGGGGACCCGCACAAGUAGUGGAGCAUGUGGUUUAAUUCGAAGAUACGCGCAGAACCUUACCAACACUUGACAUGUUCGUCGCGACUCUAAGAGAUUAGAGUUUUCGGUUCGGCCGGACGAAACACAGGUGCUGCAUGGCUGUCGUCAGCUCGUGUCGUGAGAUGUUGGGUUAAGUCCCGCAACGAGCGCAACCCUCACUUUUAGUUGCCAUCAUUAAGUUGGGCACUCUGAAAGAACUGCCAGUGAUAAGCUGGAGGAAGGUGGGGAUGACGUCAAGUCCUCAUGGCCCUUACGUGUUGGGCUACACACGUGCUACAAUGGUAUCUACAAAAGGAAGCAAGACUGCGAGGUCAAGCAAAUCCUUAAAAGAUACCUCAGUUCGGAUUGCACUCUGCAACUCGAGUGCAUGAAGCUGGAAUUACUAGUAAUCGUGGAUCAGCGUGCCACGGUGAAUGCGUUCCCGGGUCUUGUACACACCGCCCGUCACACCAUGGGAGUUGGUUCUACCUUAAGGCAAGGUUUCAAACCCUUGACCACGGUAUAGUCAGCGACUGGGGUGAAGUCAUAACAAGGUAGCCGUA
rnacentral:rRNA from 1 species